rnacentral:lncRNA from 1 species
UUGAUUAAAAAUUGCUAACUAAAUCCGCUAAAAAUGAAUAUAAAAAAAUAGAGUUAAACCUAAGGGUUUUUUUGCAAUUUCCAAUGGUAUCUGACUUUGGCUUGUGAGAGUCAUGAAGAAAGGCAACUGCAGCUUAGAAUGUCUCGAAGUUUGAUUUAUCUCAGCAGUGACUGCGAGUGUGUAAGAGUAUUACCUCAUAAGCAAAUGAUCAAAUAGGUGGAGGUCCAAUGCAAGCUCGUUGAGGCUUCAAUGUUGCCCCAAAUCUAUUUCCAUUGUUGGGUUUACACAUGCAAAGAUUAAUAAAAUAAGCAUAAUCAGUUCAAUUUGCUUUUUCCACUUGUGAUCUACAAAAAUAUAUUAACGGAACCAAUUUUAGACUAUUGAUGAAACCAAUUCACUUUUAAAAUCACAAUACACAACACUCCCUGUCAAACUUCUCCACAUGCUCUUUCACAAUGGUAGAAUUUGAAGGCCAAAUAAAUUUUCAUUUGUUUAAACCAAAAUACUUUGCUUUUAAAUAUUGGUCAUCAAAUAUUAAAGAAAUUAUAAAUUCAUGAUGGCUGCAAUAAAAUCUAAAAUCAAAAGUAGUAUAAAAUGAAAAAUGGCAGAGCUUUUCCUGGCCCAAUAGCAAACCUUAAAGCAUGAAUUAAUAUGCAAUUUUUUUAUCCCAAAAUUGAACAUGAAUGAUAUGUCAUUAAUUGAUUGGCUAAUAAUUCUUUACAAAUUCUAAGUGAAUUAAUUGUAUUAUCUUAUCAAUCAAGUGAUGAAUGCCACAUCAUUUAAGAUAAUUUUUUUGGAUAAAAAAAUUGGGAUAUAUAACACUACUCAAUAUGAAUUGAUUAUUAGUUAAAAGUCCUUCUUUAUAAGUACAGCUAGAUAAAGAAAUGCAAGCUCCAUAUGAGUAAUUCACAAAGUUAUAUUGAACCUAAGCAUCCAGAGAAGCCAUUAAAGCCAUGAAAGAGCAACUCAAUUAUCUUGUAACAAAACCUUAUUGGCUGUUAAUGUGAAUUUUAUUAUAAUUUUUCCCUUUGACUGAUAAGAAGCAGCCACAACCACUAGAGCUACGCAAGUCCAGCAGAGGGCAUAAGCCAAAUCCCAAGUACGUGACGUGAAGAUUUUCGGCUUAGCCUUGCAUGGUUCAUGCAUGCAUGGGUUCACGUGGGAAUAAUGCACCAAAGUUGUUAGAGCAAGAAUCAAGGGAUUUGAUAGCUACAACAAUCGUGCAGGAAUAGCAGAUAAGAUAGAAUCCUUAGUAAAGAUGGAAUCCUUAGUAGUUGUUGUUUAGUUUUGUGUUUCGUAAAAGUAGCAAGGAUGUUAUUUCAGCUUUAUUACAACCGUGAUUAUAGGCUGAGUUUGUUAUGUUAGUAUUAUAAAUAAAGGCUCCAGCAAAAAUAAAAGGCAUUCAAUCAACAAAAUCAAUUUAUCUUGGUCUUUGUUUUCUCGCCAUAAGUAGAAAACUCUUGUGGUUGAUUAGCUAACUUUGAUUGGGACCUAUCAUUUGGUAUCAGAGCUAGGCUAUCAAUGACGACUAACAAGGAACGCAUUGAACGAAUUGAAGCUGAUCUGGGAAACUUGCAGGACAGAAUGGAACAGAUGGAGGUGGGAAUCAAUGACAAGUUGCAGCGUCUUGAGGAGACAAUAAACAAACUCGUGGAAUCAAACAAUACAACCAAGGGCACCACCAGUCGUAACUCAACUGAAAAUUCAAGCUCUACAAAACCUGCUCGUGAGGAAAGAGAUGCAGGGCGGCACAUGCCUCCAACACGGAUUACCAAGCUAGAAUUUCCCCGUUUCGCCGGCGAUGAUCCAACAGAAUGGUACAGCAGGGUAUCUCAGUACUUUGAAUAUCAGGAAACUAUGGAUGAACACAAAGUAACCUUGGCUGCAUAUCACUUGGAGGGAGAGGCAAAUCAGUGGUGGCAAUGGAUGCGAAGGGCUUAUGAAGAAGAAAAGCGACCAGUUACAUGGAAAAUAUUCGUUGAGGAACUAUGGGCACGUUUUGGACUGACAGAGUGUGAGGAUUUUGAUGAGGCUUUGUCUCGGGUCAGACAGACGGGAUCAUUGCGUGAAUAUCAGAAGGAGUUCGAAAGGCUUGGGAACCAAGUUCAUGGGUGGUCUCAAAAAGCAUUGGUGGGAACAUUUAUGGGGGGCUUGAAACCAGAGAUUGCGGAAGACAUUCGUAUGUUCAGACCCCGCACAUUAAAGGAAGCCAUUAGUCUAGCCCGUAUGAAGGAUGAUCAAAUAGCACGACAGAAGAAAAUAAUUAGGUCAUCAAUUCCUAUUCGGUCCCCAUAUGCUCUGAAUCGAGCCACAACAACAACACCUUAUAAGAGGCUAUCAUGGGAAGAGAUGCAGAGGAGGCGAGCCCAGGGAUUGUGCUUCAAUUGUAAUGACAAAUUCAUCGCCGGCCACAAGUGUACCAAGGCACAGUUACUAAUCCUGGAAUGCGAAACAACACCGGAAGAGGGUUUGUAUGAAGAAUUUGCUGCCGAGGAGCCAAUCAUGGAAUCAACAGAAACAGUAAACCCUAAAAUUACUUUAUAUGCUUUGUCCGGAUGGGCCGCACCACAAACUAUGCGCGUUAUGGCAAAAAUUGGGCAGUACGCAAUUGUCAUCCUCAUUGACAGCGGGUCCACACACAAUUUUAUCAGUUCACGCUUAGCCAAUUUGUUGCAAUUGCCGAUCAAGCCAACAACAUCUUUUUCUGUACAAGUCGCUAACGGGGCGAAAUUAACAUGCCAAGGGAUGUUUGAAAAGGUACAAAUAUUAAUCCAAAAUAUUCCUUUUUCUCUCACCGUGUAUUCCCUGCCAAUAACAGGAUUGGAUAUGGUCUUGGGGAUCCAAUGGCUCGAGACACUGGGCUCUGUUGUGUGCAAUUGGAAAGACUUGACUAUGGAAUUUGAAUGGGAGGAUAAAAAGAAACGCUUGCAAGGAAUCAAUCCCCAUGUUGUGCAGUCAGCAUCAGUAACAGAAGUUGCAAAAGAAAUUAAACAGGGGCAAGGAGUCUACGCUAUAUGCUUUUACACUUCAUUAGAAGACUUUUUUGACAAGACUCCUAUUUGCAUGCAACAAAUAUUUGUUGAAUAUUCAGAAUUAUUCCAAGAGCCUAGGCAACUACCACCCUCACGGGACAUUGACCACAACAUUCCAUUAAAAGAAGGAACUGAGCCGGUGAACGUGAGACCCUAUCGAUAUCCAUAUUUUCAAAAAUCAGAGAUUGAGAAGCAAGUACAGGAGAUGUUAAACUCAGGAUUGAUAAGGCCAAGCACCAGUCCCUUUUCCUCGCCCGUAUUGUUGGUCAAGAAGAAAGACGGCAGCUGGCGAUUUUGUACUGACUACCGUGCCCUUAACCAAGUUACAAUCAAGGACCGCUUUCCGAUACCGACUGUUGAAGACAUGUUAGAUGAGCUCCAUGGUGCUGCUUACUUCACCAAGUUAGACUUACGAGCAGGGUACCACCAAGUACGUGUAAAUCCAGCCGACAUAUACAAAACAUCGUUUCGGACUCACAAUGGCCACUACGAAUACCUGGUGAUGCCGUUCGGGCUGUGUAAUGCCCCAUCCACCUUUCAGGCAAUCAUGAAUUCUAUCUUUCAUCCACAUCUUAGAAAAUUCAUUCUGGUUUUUUUUGAUGAUAUACUAAUCUACAGUCCUACAUGGAGCAAACAUCUGGAUCAUGUUCAGCAGGUACUGGAGAUUUUAAAAAAACAGAGAUUUUUUAUCAAACCAAGCAAGUGUAAUUUCGGCCAGCAAGAGUUAGAAUACUUGGGCCAUAUAAUAACUUGCCAUGGCGUCAAGGUCGACGGGAACAAAAUUGCAGCCAUGAUUUCGUGGCCACGACCUCAAAAUAUAACAGAGUUGAGAGGAUUUCUGGGGCUCACAGGAUAUUACAGAAAAUUUGUCCAAGGUUAUGGGAUUAUAGCACAUUCGCUCACCAACUUGUUGAAAAAGGGGCAGUUCGUAUGGAACAGUGAGGCGGAGGAAGCAUUUGAGAAAUUAAAAAAGGCCAUGAGCAGUACCCCAACAUUAGCCAUGCCAAAUUUUCAUGAGACUUUCAUUGUGGAAACUGACGCGUCUGGUGAAGGAAUUGGGGCGGUACUACAGCAGCAAGGGAGGCCGAUUGCUUACAUGAGCCAUGCUUUAAGCACUUCAAAAAAGGGGUGGUCUAUUUACAAUAAAGAGAUGUUAGCAAUUGUGGAGGCUGUCCGAAGGUGGAGACCUUAUUUGCUUGGGCACCGGUUCAUCAUCAAAACCGAUCAACAAAGUAUUAAAUUUUUUUUGGAACAACAAGUGGCUACACCCGAGCAGCAUAAAUGGAUGAGUAAAUUGAUGGGGUAUGAUUAUGAGAUUGUUUACAGACCAGGGCGUGAGAAUAAAGCCGCCGAUGCCUUAUCCCGACGAUCUGACAGUCCACUUCUUUAUCUCUUGUUUGUACCACAGAUUGCUAUUUGGGACGAAAUCAAGGAGGCCACUAGUAGUGAUGAAUAUAUGCAAAAGAUAUUGACGGUAGCUCAAAACCAAACUCCGGGGCCAUACACGGUUCGCAAUGGACUGUUAUUCUUUAAGGAAAGAGUGGUGGUUCCACGUACUUUACGCGAGUCACUUCUAUAUGAGGCUCACGACACUAAAAUUGGGGGUCAUUCGGGAGUCCUGCGAACCUACAAGCGCCUUUCACAACAGUUUUACUGGCCAGCAAUGUUUCAGGCAGUACGGGAAUAUGUGAGUAAAUGCAAAGUCUGUCAACAGGUGAAGUUUGACACUCUCAAGCCAGCUGGUCUUCUACAGCCACUACCCAUACCAUGCCAAGUUUGGGAUGAUAUCUCCUUGGAUUUUGUCGAAGGCUUACCAUCUUCACAAGGCAAGGAUACCAUAUUGGUCGUGGUGGAUCGACUAAGUAAGUUCGCUCACUUUAUUUCCUUAACCCAUCAUUUUUCUGCUAAAAUAGUGGCUGAGAAAUUCGUUGAACAUGUGGUGAAGUUACAUGGCAUGCCUAAAAGUAUAAUUAGUGAUCGCGACCCAAUUUUCAUCAGCAAAUUCUGGCAGGAAUUUUUUAAUUUGUCUGGCACUAAAUUAAAAAUGAGUUCUGCCUACCAUCCGCAGACAGACGGCCAAACCGAGGUAAUUAAUCGCUGCCUCGAACAAUAUUUGAGGUGUUUUGUGCAUCAGUGGCCGAAGAAGUGGCACGCAUUCUUGCCUUGGGCGGCGUUUUGGUAUAACACCACCUUCCAUGUCUCUACGGGCAUGACACCAUUCCAAGCUCUGUACGGCAGAACACCCCCAACUGUACCUUUCUAUCAUGUUGGGUCAUCUCCUGUGAAUGAAGUGGACCAGGCAUUGCUUACCCGAGAUGACUUGCUACGCCAGUUGAAGCAUAAUUUGGCCAUGGCAACAAAUCGAAUGAAGCAAGUGGCUGACAAGAGGCGUCGCGAUGUGGAAUUUCAGAAUGGUGAUUUGGUGUUUUUAAAGUUACAACCUUAUAAACAAUCCUCGGUGUUCAAGAGGGCUCAUAAAAAAUUAGCAUGCAUUUUUUUCGGGCCGUAUAAGAUUGUACGCAAAAUUGGUCCAGUUGCUUAUAAACUUCAGCUGCCUGAAAGAUUGUACGCAAAAUUCAUCCAGUAUUUCAUGUUUCAUUAUUGAAGAAAGCUAUCGGCGAUUUCAGUAGCAGUACUGACUUACCUUCAGUUGAUGAUGAAGGCCUGAUAGUCCUGGAACCUCUUGCUAUUCUUGAUACCCGUUGGUUGAGAAGAGGUGGCAAAGUGGUGGAACAACAAUUAGUUCAAUGGAAGCGGUUGCCAGUCGAAGAUGCAACGUGGGAAGAUACAGAGCUUUUGCAACGACAAUUUCCUCACAUGACCCUUGAGGACAAGGGCACUUUUCGGGAAGAGGGUAAUGAUAAGAGAUUGAAGCCACAACCACUAGAGCUACGCAAGUCCAGCAGAGGGCAUAAGCCAAAUCCCAAGUACGUGACGUGAAGAUUUUCGGCUUAGCCUUGCAUGGUUCAUGCAUGCAUGGGUUCACGUGGGAAUAAUGCACCAAAGUUGUUAGAGCAAGAAUCAAGGGAUUUGAUAGCUACAACAAUCGUGCAGGAAUAGCAGAUAAGAUAGAAUCCUUAGUAAAGAUGGAAUCCUUAGUAGUUGUUGUUUAGUUUUGUGUUUCGUAAAAGUAGCAAGGAUGUUAUUUCAGCUUGAUUACAACCGUGAUUAUAGGCAGAGUUUGUUAUGUUAGUAUUAUAAAUAAAGGCUCCAGCAAAAAUAAAAGGCAUUCAAUCAACAAAAUCAAUUUAUCUUGGUCUUUGUUUUCUCGCCAUAAGUAGAAAACUCUUGUGGUUGAUUAGCUAACUUUGAUUGGGACCUAUCAUUGACAGAAACAUAGAAUUUUGAAUAUGUUUAUGUUACCUAUUGAUCUUGGUUAAUUAGUUGCUGGAAUUAUUCUUUAAAUUUAAAAAUAAUCUUUUUUGCCAUAUAAUGCAAUACAAUAUUAUUGAAAAUGUCUAAUUCUCAAUGAAUCACAAAUUUUAAAAAUUUAUUAUAAGUUUUAUAGCACAACGAAAUUUUUGAAAGCCAACUUAAUCGUGGAAAACUUCAAAAUUCUGUUAGAGAUUGAAGGGAAAAAAGAGUAAUAAUAUGUUGUAUUCAUUCCCAGAGCUCUAUCAAUUAAAAAAAAAAAUUAAAACGAACGAAGUCAAAUGAAAACUACGUGCAAGAAAGAGGUGAAGUAUCUUGCAUGGGGUGUGAGAAAUCACGUGUCUCUCUGCCUUUAGGUUGAUUAUAAUUACGGUUGAAAAUGUAAAAUGAAUAAAGGGGUUUUCAAUUGGAAGUGGGGGCUUUUCAGGAAAUUGAGGGGUGUCAAAAGACGAACUAUAAAUUUAUGAGUAAUUUAUACCUUACCCCCAAAUGAAUUGAUAUUUUGCACCGCGCACCCAAAAGAUUUGACUCGUUGCACCGCACCCCCAAUUCUGUUAUUUUCUCCGUUAAGUUUAAUGGUGGAGGGGUAAAAUUAAUUUUAAUAAAAAUUGAAAAUUCAUUCCUUAAAUUAAUUUUAAUAAAAAUUCUCUUUAUUGCAAUUGAAAUAAAUUUUUUUAAAAAUAAUAGUGGUGACAAUGUACAUGUAACAAGAAGUUUUUUUUUUUUUAUUGCGAUUGAAAUAAAAAUCUUUAAAAAAAAUUAAAUGAGCUUAAAAUUUUGUUUUUUAAAAAAAAGGGCAUGCGCUCUAUAAUGAACCUUUUAUUGGAGGGUAUUAACGUAAAUAUAAAAUGUUGGACUAGGUUUUGUGUAAUUAAAUUUAUUUGAAUUCAUAUAGAGGGGCAUUUUUGUCAUUCAAUCAAAAGUUAGAUGGAGCCAUUAGAAAUAAGUGAAAAAUUAACGGAAUUAGGGACGGAAUGCAACGAGUCAAAUCUUUUGGGAAUGCGGUGUAAAAUAUCAAUUCAUUUGGGGGUAGGGUAUAAAUUACUCUAAAUUUAUUUUGAACUUUAAAUUUAUUGUCCUAAGAUUGAUAUGCUUAGCCCAUCAUCAUUUGUCUUUAGGUUUCCUGUGCAGCCAAAUUAAUGAAAGAUCUCGGCUUGGACUUGACCAUUAAACAAAGUCUAUGUUGGAUGUACUGAUAUAUGGAAGAAUUGCAACGCUAGAACUUUUCAGCCCUCAUGUGAGUUGCCAUUUUUAUUCUUGUAAGAGUUAUAUUGUUGCAGCUCUGAUAUUGUUUGUGUUUUGAUUUUAUUUAUGUUUUGUGCUCAUAUAAGGGUGAAGCAUAGGAUUUUCUAUUUAUUGCGACAGAAAGAUACAAAGUCUGUGUUCGUCGGUGGGAUGCGGAGUCAUCUGAGCUCGUUACAAGGUUCAAACAUUCAAGAGAAUAAAAAAAAAGAGUGACAAUUAGCUUUCAUCAUUUGAUUAGCAUAUGUUUGACAUUGUUUAAGCUCACGUUAGAAAGGGAUAUCUUAACAGUGGCCAAGGUUUUGGGAUUCUUCGCAAUUGUGAGAAAUUUUGAUAGACAGCAAAUGCAUGAGCCACGAAGAAUGCAUGAGCCACGAAGCCAAAUCCUAAGUUUGCUACGUGAGGGCAUGAGUCCCAUGCAAGCCAUGCAUGAAACAUGCAUGUGCUGAGAUUGUGAAGAUACGUGCUGGAGCUGGAGCCGUUGAUCUAGGAAUACGCUUAUCAACGAUUGUGCAGCGAGUAAGGAGGGAAGCUAAAAUACGGAAGUUGUUUUCGAUUAUCUUUCGGUUUCGAAUUCUUAGCUAAGUUGUUAUACUCGUUUAUUUAGCCGUAAUUGUAGGAUGGAAACCAAAGUCUUGUUAUUAUAAAUAAGCUCCAGAAUAUGAAUAAAAGUAUUGAGAAUUCUAAACAACAAUUAUUUGGUCCUUUCUCGCCAUAAGCAGAAAAAUAUCACUUGUGUUACGCGUGAUCAUUGGCUGUCUCUGACUGGGACCUAUCAAAUUUGGACUCUUAUAUAGGCUAGUAAUGUUCUGUCUGUUCCUUUUAAUUAUCAUUUGCCUUAAUUUUCGACGAUCAAUUUUCUAUCAGAAGGUCGACUAUCCCCAUUGAAACAUUCAUAAACGUCAGAAAGUAUAUUUAGUCUUUUACGUGUGAGAACCAAUUAAAUGUCUUAUUUCCCCUUAUCUGUUGCAUUCUUGCACUGAUGAAGUUAUGCACUUAUUCUGUAGAGCUAUGGUCGUCCUGCAGAUAAUGGUCGUUGACUUGCUCUAAUGAAUUUUUGUGGUUAUUUUAUGUUACAAUGCAUUUUUCCCCCUUCUGUCCGUUUUAAUAUUAAUGAAAUUUUAGCAAAGGUCAUUCCACUUCCGCUUUCACUCUAUUUUGACCGUUUCUUCUGCAGAUCGGAAUAAUUGAUACUGAUUGCAGAUUAAUUGGACUCCAUCGUACGAUGGGUUGUUCAAGGUAUGUGGUUUGAUGCUUACUGUUCUCUUAUGUGCAUUAUUUUCUAUUUUUUAUUUAAAUCUUUUUAUGCAAAAUUAACAAAUCAAUUCAUUUUUACAUAUUAUUAGGUAUUCCUUUGAUUCUUCUCCGUGCUUUCAACUGGAAAACUUGGGUACUGUAUAUGUUCGCUGUGCAUUUGUUAGUACUUUCAACACUCCAAAUUCAUAUUUCUUCGUAAGCUGCAUUGUAGCUUGAAAAGCCUUGAGUUUGGUUCUCUUGUUUGAUUGGGUUCAAGCAUAUUGAAUUGCAAAUGGCAAACCUAUUAUUUGUCAGUUAGAGAUUUUAUUUAGUAUAUUAUGUGGCGGAAAAUGUUGGGACAUUUAUUAAUCAAUAACAGAAAGAAUUGCAAAAGAUUUGUUUCUAUGCUCUUUUUAAUUGGAUGUUAAACCUGUAAUCAGAUUUUUGGCAUUUAAGUUAUUUCAGAAAUUGUAUACGUGUAAGGAUGCAUCUGUUAUAAUUUUUAUGGAUACUGUGAUCCAUAACUUCUCUAAAUAUUAAAUGCUUCAUUUCAAUCAGGCCAAACAAGGAGAGAAGAGGAUAGAGGGCCUGGUGAGAUUACAGUUCAGGGAAGCAGAAAUGAAGAGGCUGGAGGAGGCUGUUGCUUCUGGAAAGAUUUCCGCUGAGACACAUUUAUUGAAGGAGAAAGAGGAGUGUUUGAAGGAAAUUGAGGUUCUCAGGACUCAGGUAGAUGGGAACCAAGAAGUUUAACGUUAUUUAGUAACAAUUUGCCGUUCACACUCGACAACUAGUGUUGUAUUAGUGAUAAUAUACAUAAAUAUUAUGUAGUUUAUAAUUUUUCUUUGUUUCCUAUGCACUGCGUGUUCUUCUUCUUUUCAGGUGCGUAGGUUUGACUAGUAUGGCCUAAAACUUAAGUUCAUAUAUAAUUCGCAUACCAAAAUUUAUGAGUUAUUAUAUUUUUUUUUUCCAGUUAUUGUUAUAAUGUUUCCAGUUAUUUUUUUUUUCCACACAUAAUAUUUCAUGCUCGUGAAAACAUGAGGGAGAGAUUACAUCCAUUUUAUUUCUAUAUUUUAUAUUAUCUGCCAAUUUCUCUCCAAUGUAAGUAGCAUUGUUAUACAUGAAUAGCAAAUAUUUUACUACAAGAGAAGAAAAUUAGAGUUCAAACCAAACUCUUGUAUCAACAACAUUAACCUCAACCAUUGAAUCAAUUAUGAUUUAAAGGCUAGGAUUUUGUCGUAUUGAUUGAAGCACAAAUAAAUAAACUCUAUUGAAAAUACAUGUAUAGUAGUGAAUAUUGUCUGUGGUGUCACACAAUAUUCUUUGUGGGUAUAUUAUUGAUUUUAUUUAAAUUAUGAGACGAUCACAAUUUUUAAAAAAAUAAAUAAAUAAAAGGGUUGCAAUUGAGAAAGCAAUAGGCUUCAGUUUGGCCUCCUAAUUUUCUAGCAUUUGGCUGAUGCAUAGGAACAAAUUAACGCAAUUGGCAACCACUUAUUAUUUGGAAAAACAAUAAAAAAAAAAAAAAUUAAUUAACAAGGCAAUCCCUAAUAGAAUUCCACUGAACUUAGCUGAACCUAUUUGUCUUUUCUGUGCAAUAAACAUGUCAGAGGAGUUGAUGAAAAUGGAGAAUGAGAUAUGAAAUUGUCAGUAAGCAGCAUAAUUUCAGGAAUUUAAAAGCAAAGCAGUACCUGUUCACUGGUUUCAAAGUUUGUUCGCUUUCUCAGGCAUUGGAGCAAUGCAGCUAAAGACUCCCUUCAGCUCAAGGGCAGCUAUUACUUUUAACAUUUCCAUGCUCUUUACACCGACUUGAUGAUUCUGCGAUAUCUGAAGAGGUAAAAGAUUUGCAAAUAGCAGAGGCAACCACAAUGAAAAUAUAAUGCCAUUUGGGAAAAGGAAAGCAAGAACAUAUUAAACAACUGGACCUAUGUUUUCAUGAUUUUAUAUAUUAUUAAUCAGAAAUUUUUCAUACGAGCAUGUGAAGCUCCAAAUAUACGAUAGCAUUGAAGGAAGUACUACUAAAUGUAACACAUUUCAAAUUGCAUAUUUCUUACUCUUUGCAGCCACCGGCAUCUCGAGCAUCAUUGACAUCAUCAUCUUCGUCAUCCUGUAUGCAGCAUAUAGUUGGAACAAAGAAAUGUUAGAAUCUAUAUCCAUACUGUAGAGAAAAAAAAACUUUAGACGAAAAUACACGUGAAAGUAUAAUAAUAAUAAUAACACGAUAAAUUUUAAUGUUCUUUAGGCGAAUCAAUUAGGAUUUGAUUAUUAUGUUUAAAUUUGGCACCACCUAUUUUUUCUCCUCCACCACAAUCCCCAUCUGAAAAAUUCCACCUCUGUUACAUAAUUAACGAGGCAGGCCUUGCUCCAGAGGGCUGCUGCAGAUGUAAAAGAUUUCAAGAUUUCAAUAUGGUACAUGCAUCUCCGAUACAAGGAUUGAGGAAGCAUACUUUGUUAAAAACAUGAAUUAAAAGCAACAUGUCAUGGACAUUAAAAGCAACAAAAACCGAAACGGAUAUACACUCUUAUAGUAUAGUGACCACAACUGAAAAGCCAAGCAACAGUAACUCCAUGCCCAGAUAAAGUUAGCAUAAUGUAAACAUCAAAUUUAUCAGACAACAGGAGCAGAUGUACUCUUUUCCAGAAGCGAAUAGAUAGUUGAAAUCAAAUACAAAAUUAAACGGAGAAAAACGAAACAUACCCAGAGAAUUUGUGCCAUUUGUGUACCCAUAAUUCCAGUUCCUGAAAAACAAAAUGAAGAAGUAUAAAGAUAACUUGAGCUGAAUUGCUGGUUGCCCGAGAGGAGAGAAGGAAAUAGAGGAACAAUGAUUUUGUGGGGGAAAG